AGAAACAAGAAAAUGUGGCCACACACGGUGCUAACGAUGAUACGCUAGAGGCAAAGAAACAAGAAAAUGCGGCCACGCACGGUGCGAACGAAAAUACGCCAGAGGCAAAGAAACAAGAAGAUGCGGUCACAAACAGUGCGAACGACAAUGAUACGCCAGAGGCAAAGGCGAG